rnacentral:rRNA from 1 species
UACAGAGGGUGCAAGCGUUAAUCGGAAUUACUGGGCGUAAAGGGCGCGUAGGCGGAUUAAUAAGUUACAUGUGAAAGCCCUGGGCUUAACCUAGGAAUGGCGUGUAAUACUGUUAGUCUAGAGUGAAGUAGAGGGUAGCGGAAUUUCCGGUGUAGCGGUGAAAUGCGUAGAUAUCGGAAGGAACACCAGUGGCGAAGGCGGCUAUCUGGACUUCAACUGACGCUGAGGCGCGAAAGCGUGGGGAGCAAAC